rnacentral:rRNA from 1 species
UACAGAGGUCUCAAGCGUUGUUCGGAUUCAUUGGGCGUAAAGGGCGCGUAGGCGGCGUGGUAAGUCACUUGUGAAAUCUCUGAGCUUAACUCAGAACGGCCAAGUGAUACUGCUGUGCUAGAGUGCAGAAGGGGCAAUCGGAAUUCUUGGUGUAGCGGUGAAAUGCGUAGAUAUCAAGAGGAACACCUGAGGUGAAGACGGGUUGCUGGGCUGACACUGACGCUGAGGCGCGAAAGCCAGGGGAGCAAACGGG